AUGAUCUGCUGUGUUAUGUUCUGUAUACCAUCCUCAGGGCUGCUCAAGAUUUUGAAGGGACACGGUCUUUGCAAGUUUCUUCUUUUGUGGAGUGACAACCUCUUCCAGAGAGAGAAUAUCUCCAAAACAGAGGAAGCCAAAUGCCUGGAUACUUGUCUUUCCUUGUGUAAAAGAGAAAAUAUAACAUAACUGCCUUGGUUGAUGUGUGAGGAAUUAAGGCUCAGGAGAAAAGAAACCUAAGCAUCUCUGUGAACAAAUUCUAAUUUAUUAUGUUUGUUGUUUUGUUUGUUUUGUUUUUCCUGUGUUGUGUACACUUGAAAAUAUUGUGCAUGUUAUCAUCAGAAAGUUAUAUAAUCUUUGCCGUAGUUGGUAGGUAUAAUGCCAUAGCUGGUAGAUCUAAAACAAUUUGCGGAUAGGUAUUACCUUAAUUAACCACAAUUUGUGGUUAAUAUUUUCUCUACCAGUAGCUGUUUGCAAAGAAAACAAGAAUCAGAUUUAUUAAAUUCUAUUUGUUUAUGUUUUACAGUACAAAUUUUUGAAGGAUAUAAUUCAUGAAGACAAUGUUUAACAAGUGAAAUGGUAGUCUAUUUACCAUUAGUCUGUAUCCUGGAUGAUCAAAAAAAAAAAAAAAAAAAAAAAAAAUAUAUAUAUAUAUAUAUAUAUUCCUGUCACAAACAUACUAAUAUUAUGGGAAGACAAAAGUGUGUUUCACACUAAGUGAACAUUCCUCCUUUUUCUGUGUUUUAUUCAUCUAUUUAUAUAUGUAACAUCCAGGUAUAUACAAAUAUCUGUGAACUAAUCUGAGGAACGGAUAUGUAUGUGCUUUCUUGGGGAAAGAAGUGUUGCAUUUUGUUAGGCAUUAAUGUAAAUAAUGCAUGCAAAACAGUUGGACUUACCAAAAUACCUUUCUGCUGAUUUAGUAGUUAAGAAAAAGUUUUUUCCCUUGAAGCCAUUGGCUUAAAUGAGUUCAAGGUGAAUGCUAACCCCAAAGAAGUGAACAGUUUCGUUUCUUGUAGAAGUUCCAUGCCAUCAGGUGUCCCUGGUAGAAAUGUUUAUAUUCCUAGCAGUCUUAACAAAGUGAUUAGAAAUGGCACGAGC
rnacentral:lncRNA from 1 species